rnacentral:rRNA from 1 species
UACGGGGGGGGGCAAGCGUUGUUCGGAAUUACUGGGCGUAAAGGGCUCGUAGGCGGCCAACUAAGUCGGAUGUGAAAUCCCCAGGCUUAACCUGGGAACUGCAUCCGAUACUGGAUGGCUUGAAUCCGGGAGAGGGAUGCAGAAUUCCAGGUGUAGCGGUGAAAUGCGUAGAUAUCUGGAGGAAUACCGGUGGCGAAGGCGGCAUCCUGGACCGGCAUUGACGCUGAUGAGCGAAAAGCUAGGGGGAGCAAACGGGG